rnacentral:rRNA from 1 species
GACGAACGCUGGCGGCGUGCUUAACACAUGCAAGUCGAACGGAAAGGCCCUGCUUUUGUGGGGUGCUCGAGUGGCGAACGGGUGAGUAACACGUGAGUAACCUGCCCUUGACUUUGGGAUAACUUCAGGAAACUGGGGCUAAUACCGGAUAGGAGCUCCUGCUGCAUGGUGGGGGUUGGAAAGUUUCGGCGGUUGGGGAUGGACUCGCGGCUUAUCAGCUUGUUGGUUGGGUAGUGGCUUACCAAGGCUUUGACGGGUAGCCGGCCUGAGAGGGUGAACGGCCACAUUGGGACUGAGAUACGGCCCAGACUCCUACGGGAGGCAGCAGUGGGGAAUAUUGCACAAUGGGCGGAAGCCUGAUGCAGCAACGCCGCGUGCGGGAUGACGGCCUUCGGGUUGUAAACCGCUUUCGCCUGUGACGAAGCGUGAGUGACGGUAAUGGGUAAAGAAGCACCGGCUAACUACGUG